rnacentral:tRNA from 2 species
CCGCUUUUAGCUCAGUGGUCCAGCGUUGGCUUUGGAAGCCACAGGUCGGUGGUUCGAACCCACCAGGGCACA